UACGUAGGGUGCGAGCGUUAAUCGGAAUUACUGGGCGUAAAGCGUGCGCAGGCGGUUUUGUAAGCCAGAUGUGAAAUCCCCGGGCUUAACCUGGGAAUGGCAUUUGGGACUGCAAGGCUGGAGUGCGGCAGAGGAGACUGGAAUUCCUGGUGUAGCAGUGAAAUGCGUAGAUAUCAGGAGGAACACCGAUGGCGAAGGCAGGUCUCUGGGCUGACACUGACGCUCAUGCACGAAAGCGUGGGGAGCAACAGGAUAGAA
rnacentral:rRNA from 1 species